GCCUUCUGCAUGGAGUUUUGCACAAUGAGUUGUAGAAGCUGUUGAAGGAAAAGGUGAAUAGAUUCAAUCUGCAGAAGUGAAAGUCAUUCACCUGGCUUUAAAUAUUGCUGAAUGAGAAAAGUGGCCAGUGCUCUACCUCAAUGCUGAUUCACGAAUGGUGGAAAAUUCCCUGCUGGAGUGGUUACAGUAACAGUAGUAACACAUGACCAAACUCAUCUUUGCUGCUGCAUUGUGGAGGGGUACUGCUGCCCAGGGGUUUCUGUAGUGGCUUUUGCAUGAAGAGGAUGGCAGUUGCAGAUAGACCUCCUUCAAAUCUCUAGCUAAUUUAGUUUCUAUCAUGAAGUAGUAUGGAGGGUGGUUCAUAUGACCAGAAUUCAUAUCACAGAGAUCUUGGUGAAGAACAAUCAUGUUCUGGUCAGCAGCUCAGGCAAAUUAUCAGCCUGUUUUCUAUAAUCCACAUAUGAAGAGUACCUAGCUGUUGGUACUUAGAACUUUUGUG
ensembl:lncRNA